rnacentral:sRNA from 1 species
AGGGUUGGCACUGGGCCCCAGGGGCUUCUGUCCCUAGAGCCCAUGGCCUCCACUGCCUGCCUGCCCAUACAAAGACCAUGUGCAAUGUGAUCAGAAGUUGAGAGGACCAGGCCAGAGGGCUGUGGGAGUUCAGAGGUGGAUGGACUUUUCAGGCUGAAGCCCAAGUACCAGGUCCGCUGGAAGAUCAUCGAGAGCUAUGAGGGCAACAGUUAUACUUUCAUCGACCCCACGCAGCUGCCUUACAAUGAGAAGUGGGAGUUCCCCCGGAACAACCUGCAGUUUGGUAAGACCCUCGGAGCUGGAGCCUUUGGGAAGGUGGUGGAGGCCACGGCCUUUGGUCUGGGCAAGGAGGAUGCUGUCCUGAAGGUGGCUGUGAAGAUGCUGAAGUCCACGGCCCAUGCUGAUGAGAAGGAGGCCCUCAUGUCUGAGCUGAAGAUCAUGAGCCACCUGGGACAGCACGAGAACAUCGUCAACCUUCUGGGAGCCUGUACCCAUGGAGGCCCUGUACUGGUCAUCACGGAGUACUGUUGCUAUGGCGACCUGCUCAACUUUCUGCGAAGGAAGGCUGAGGCCAUGCUGGGACC